AUUGAACGCUGGCGGCAUGCCUUACACAUGCAAGUCGAACGGCAGCACGGGAGCAAUCCUGGUGGCGAGUGGCGAACGGGUGAGUAAUAUAUCGGAACGUGCCCAGUCGUGGGGGAUAACGCAGCGAAAGCUGUGCUAAUAACGCAUACGAUCUACGGAUGAAAGCGGGGGAUCGCAAGACCUCGCGCGAUUGGAGCGGCCGAUAUCAGAUUAGCUAGUUGGUGGGGUAAAAGCCCACCAAGGCGACGAUCUGUAGCUGGUCUGAGAGGACGACCAGCCACACUGGAACUGAGACACGGUCCAGACUCCUACGGGAGGCAGCAGUGGGGAAUUUUGGACAAUGGGCGCAAGCCUGAUCCAGCAAUGCCGCGUGCAGGAUGAAGGCCUUCGGGUUGUAAACUGCUUUUGUACGGAACGAAACGGCUCUUUCUAAUAAAGAGGGCUAAUGACGGUACCGUAAGAAUAAGCACCGGCUAACUACGUGCCAGCCGCCGCGGUAAAAC
rnacentral:rRNA from 1 species